UACGUAGGGUCCGAGCGUUGUCCGGAAUUAUUGGGCGUAAAGGGCUCGUAGGCGGUCCGUCACGUCGGGAGUGAAAACUCAGGGCUCAACCCUGAGCGUGCUUCCGAUACGGGCGGACUAGAGGUAUGCAGGGGAGAACGGAAUUCCUGGUGUAGCGGUGGAAUGCGCAGAUAUCAGGAGGAACACCGGUGGCGAAGGCGGUUCUCUGGGCAUGACCUGACGCUGAGGAGCGAAAGCGUGGGGAGCAAACAGG
rnacentral:rRNA from 1 species